rnacentral:rRNA from 1 species
AACGAACGCUGGCGGCAUGCCUAACACAUGCAAGUCGAACGAGACCUUCGGGUCUAGUGGCGCACGGGUGCGUAACGCGUGGGAACCUGCCCUUAGGUUCGGAAUAACUCCCCGAAAGGUGUGCUAAUACCGGAUAAUCUCUUCGGACCAAAGAUUUAUCGCCUUUGGAUGGGCCCGCGUUGGAUUAGCUAGUUGGUAGGGUAAAAGCCUACCAAGGCGACGAUCCAUAGCUGGUCGGAGAGGAUGAUCAGCCACACUGGGACUGCGACACGGCCCAGACUCCUACGGGAGGCAGCAGUGGGGAAUAUUGGAGAAUGGGCGAAAGCCUGAUCCAGCAAUGCCGCGUGAGUGAGGAAGGCCUUAGGGUUGUAAAGCUCUUUUACCCGGGAUGAUAAUGACAGUACCGGGAGAAUAAGCUCCGGCUAACUCCGUG